rnacentral:rRNA from 1 species
AAUCAACGCUGGCGGCAUGCCUUAUACAUGCAAGUCGAACGCGAAAGCGGACUUCGGUCCGCAAGUAGAGUGGCAGACGGGUGAGUAUCGCGUGGGUGACCUACCUUCGAGUGGGGGACAACCCCUGGAAACGGGGGCUAAUACCGCAUAACAUCCCGCUCUUGGACGAGCGGUGAUCAAAGCUGGGGAUCGCAAGACCUGGCGCUUGUUGAGGGGCCCGCGUCCGAUUAGCUUGUUGGUGAGGUAACGGCUCACCAAGGCUCCGAUCGGUAGCCGGCCUGAGAGGGCGGACGGCCACACUGGGACUGAGACACGGCCCAGACUCUUACGGGAGGCAGCAGUAAGGAAUUGUUCGCAAUGGGCGAAAGCCUGACGACGCAAUGCCGCGUGGAGGACGAAGAUCUUCGGGUCGUAAACUCCUGUCGAGCGGGAAGAACAGUGCGCGGGUUAAUACCCCGUGCGCCUGACGGUACCGCUAAAGGAAGCCCCGGCUAACUCCGUG